rnacentral:lncRNA from 1 species
CUAGCUUGAGAUAUGUACGUUUUGAUGACAACAUAGAGUGCAGUAAAAUCAAAAUGUCAGAUAUGUAUACCAGCUUCAAGAGUCGAUUCCGGCUAAUCCUCAAGGAAUUUAUCCUUGUAUUCUUUAAAGGAUGUAACUUUUCAAGUGUUGAUCUUUGAAAGCAAGAAGCUUCAGAUUUCAUUGCUCCUACAUUAAGGAAUAAAUAAUUUGGCAAAGGUUCGCCAAGCACUCACUUGCCCAGAUGAAAUAUGGUCGCUCGAGCUCCAAGCCUCUUUCUCCCCAAGUCGCAAGGCUGAGAUGUACCAUGUUCUGCUCGUAUAUUGCAAAGUGGGGAUACGGAUCGUCGAUCAAGCUCGCUUAGGAAUACUCUAUAUCUCUCGUCAAGCUGCAAGAAGGGAUAUACCAAGUUGUUGUACUCUCUUAAAAAACCUGCAAAAAUAAGAAAUGAUUUUGGAGACCUUGGUGCCAACAAGAUGAUGUUUUUGCAGAUACGGUGCGAGAAGAACGAUGAUCAACUGGAUUAAUGGAUAUCAUUGUUAUGGCACGACGUUUCUGCUUUUACAGACACGAUGCCAAUGUUACGAAGCUGUUGAUCCCACAUGAUUGAUAAGUGACAAUGACACAAAGCUUUGAUUCAACAGCAAGUACCAGUGUCAAUGACACGACGCUUUAUUGCGGAUG